UGAGCCCAGAUUACAACACUGCCCUCCAGCCUGGGCGACAGAGCAAGACUCCAUCUCAAAAAUAAUAAUAAUAAUAAAGUAAAGCUGAGGAAGGAAUUCAGGNNNNNNNNNNNNNNNNNNNNNNNNNGAAAACUCCUCAGAAGAACUUGUUUCCCAGCUCGAACCACAGCGCAGCCCGGAGCUCCUGGACCCCUCUGCCCUCACUGCCAUCGCUGUCUUCCUGAGCCUCCUGCCUCUGAAUUUCUUCACCAAGAAGAGGAAUCACCGUCAGCACUGCUGGAGAGGAAGAAGGAAGAUGGACAGUGGGUGGCCGCCCUGGGUGCCGAGCUCUUCAUGCCAGGGCUGGCGGGGCUGCAUGCCCUUGGCCUGCUGCAGCAGUGAGCCCAGCUCUGGACCAACUCCCUGAGGAUGCAGUACAGCCUCCUGGGUAAGGCACUGCGUGCCUGGUGGCGGGGCAGGUGGAGGUGGCAGGGUCUGCCCUGUUUCCUGCAGCUGUGGCUCUGCAAGGUUCAGCUCUGGCACGAGGAGGACUCGGGCCACCUGCACUCACAGCUGGAGGUGAACUACAGGAAGCACUGGGAUGAGAGCAGCAACAACAGGCAUCUCCGUGUCAGCCAGACCUUCAAGAAUGACUCGGAGCCCACCCUGAGCAAUCACUUGGUGGAGGUCUUCGUGGACAUUCACAAUGACAGCUCAGGCUCUGAGCAUUCUGGACACAACCUGAUGGGACCCACAUCUCUCAGUUACUCUGUGAGCUGCUGUUACCAUGACGAGCACCUGGAGCUCUCCGGCCAGAGCUGGCACAACAGUGAGGUUUUGUUGUGGGCAGGGUUCCCAGGCGAGGCCUCCCUGCGCACAGAACUGCAGAUACAUGGUAAGGCACCCAGCGCAGAGCCCCAGGGCUGGUGCUGGCUUCCUCCAUGCCUGGGCCAGCCUAGCAGCCCUGGACCCAGGUGGCACCCCAUCAAGCCCAGUGUGGCCCUGGGCUCUGGGACAACUGGGACAGCCUUGUCCAUCGAUGGCCUCACUCCCAAGGCAGGCGGAUUCAUUUCCUAGGACUUCCACAACCAAGUUCCACACACUGGAUGGCUUAAAACACAGACAUCGUAGCCAGAUGUGGUGGCAUGUAUAUGUGGUCCCAGGUACUCAGGAGGCUGAAGCAGGAAAAUCACUUGAGCCAGAAGGUCGAGGCUGCAGUGAGCUAUGAUUGCAACACUGUGCUCCAGCCUGGAUGACAGAAUGAGACCCUGUCUCAAAAUAAAAACAACAUAAUCCACAGUGGACUGAGGGCCCAUCUGGCUUGAAUAUGAC
rnacentral:lncRNA from 1 species